GCGCCUGCCCGCGCCGCUCGCACAACUACUCGCUGGCGCUGCCGCUGUCGCGCUGCCUGCGCGCGCCGCGCCUGGACCUCACCUUCAGGUAGCUUCAGUUUACAUACAACGGCUCGCUGCUGGCCGCGCGCCUGCCCGCGCCGCUCGCACAACUACUCGCUGGCGCUGCCGCUGUCGCGCUGCCUGCGCGCGCCGCGCCUGGACCUCACCUUCAGGUAGCUUCAGUUUACAUACAACGGCUCGCUGCUGGCCGCGCGCCUGCCCGCGCCGCUCGCACAACUACUCGCUGGCGCUGCCGCUGUCGCGCUGCCUGCGCGCGCCGCGCCUGGACCUCACCUUCAGGUAGCUUCAGUUUACAUACAACGGCUCGCUGCUGGCCGCGCGCCUGCCCGCGCCGCUCGCACAACUACUCGCUGGCGCUGCCGCUGUCGCGCUGCCUGCGCGCGCCGCGCCUGGACCUCACCUUCAGGUAGCUUCAGUUUACAUACAACGGCUCGCUGCUGGCCGCGCGCCUGCCCGCGCCGCUCGCACAACUACUCGCUGGCGCUGCCGCUGUCGCGCUGCCUGCGCGCGCCGCGCCUGGACCUCACCUUCAGAUCGUCAAAACUAAAAGAAAUCCGUCUAUGCGAUCUGUUUUGCAAGUACGAUACGGUAAAGAAAUGUCAGUCCAACCGUGAGAUAGCUAAGCCGAUACCGACCGGCGACUUUUGGACGUCGAAGAUGACACUUGAUUGUAAUAUCGAUAGACGUAUGAAAAUCAGAGCGGCGUUCAUGCCUCUAAAGGAUCUAUGUUACUUGAAUGCAGACAGCAAAACACCAUUCCUGGAAUUUAAUAUACACAUUUAUAGAGAUUGUCGGAAUUAAAUAUUUAUUUAUAACAUAUACAGACUUUAAAUGAAAUGUACAUCACGUUUUUUUUUUAAUAUUUCUGUAACAUUCCUAGAAGUGCAAUUAUGUAUCCGUCCUAAAAUAAAUAUAUGAUAUUUUUGUAAAUGCUUUCAACAUUCCUAUAGCUUAUAUUUCCCAAGUAUUAAUUAUGAGCAUGCAGAUAUUAAAUGAAUGAUAUAAUAAAUACGGAUUAUUAUUAACAAGAAUGAUUUUAAAUGU
rnacentral:misc_RNA from 1 species